rnacentral:rRNA from 1 species
AAUAGAUACCCCGGUAGUCCACGCCGUAAACGAUGAGUGCUAAGUGUUAGAGGGUUUCCGCCCUUUAGUGCUGCAGCUAACGCAUUAAGCACUCCGCCUGGGGAGUACGGCCGCAAGGCUGAAACUCAAAGGAAUUGACGGGGGCCCGCACAAGCGGUGGAGCAUGUGGUUUAAUUCGAAGCAACGCGAAGAACCUUACCAGGUCUUGACAUCCUCUGCCAACCCUAGAGAUAGGGCGUUCCCCUUCGGGGGACAGAGUGACAGGUGGUGCAUGGUUGUCGUCAGCUCGUGUCGUGAGAUGUUGGGUUAAGUCCCGCAACGAGCGCAACCCUUGAUCUUAGUUGCCAGCAUUCAGUUGGGCACUCUAAGGUGACUGCCGGUGACAAACCGGAGGAAGGUGGGGAUGACGUCAAAUCAUCAUGCCCCUUAUGACCUGGGCUACACACGUGCUACAAUGGAUGGUACAAAGAGCUGCGAACCCGCGAGGGUAAGCGAAUCUCAUAAGGCCAUUCUCAGUUCGGAUUGUAGG